AGUGAACGCUGGCGGUAGGCCUAACACAUGCAAGUCGAACGGCAGCACAGGAGAGCUUGCUCUCUGGGUGGCGAGUGGCGGACGGGUGAGGAAUACAUCGGAAUCUACUCUGUCGUGGGGGAUAACGUAGGGAAACUUACGCUAAUACCGCAUACGACCUACGGGUGAAAGCAGGGGACCUUCGGCCCUUGCGCGAUUGAAUGAGCCGAUGUCGGAUUAGCUAGUUGGCGGGGUAAAGGCCCACCAAGGCGAAGAUCCGUAGCUGGUCUGAGAGGAUGACCAGCCACACCGGAACUGAGACACGGUCAAGACUCCUACGGGAGGCAGCAGUGGGGAAUAUUGGACAAUGGGCGCAAGCCUGAUCCAGCCAUACCGCGUGGGUGAAGAAGGCCUUCGGGUUGUAAAGCCCUUUAAGUGGGGAAGAAAGGUAUCAAGUGAAUAACUUGGUGCUAUGACGGUACCCGCAGAAUAAGCACCGGCUAACUCUGUGCCAGCCGCCGCCGUAA
rnacentral:rRNA from 1 species